rnacentral:misc_RNA from 1 species
AACGCACAUUGCGCCCUUUGGCAUUCCGAGGGGCAUGCCUGUUCGAGCGUCAUUAACAACCAUCAAGCCUUGGCUUGCCGUUGAGCCCCGCCCGUGACAGGGCCGGCUCGAAAGACAGCGACGGCGUCGGUCGGACCCUGGAUGCAACGAGCUCUGAGUAGCACGCAUCGAACGGAGCCGGUCGCGCCCGUCCCACCCCCUUCUAUCUCAGGUUGACCUCGGAUCAGGUAGGAAUACCCGCUGAACUUAA